rnacentral:rRNA from 5 species
GGGCCGCACGCGCGCUACACUGACGGAGCCAGCGAGUUUACCUUAGCCGAGAGGUUUGGGAAAUCUUGAGAAACUCCGUCGUGCUGGGGAUAGAGCAUUGUAAUUUUUGCUCUUCAACGAGGAAUUCCUAGUAAGCGCAAGUCAUCAGCUUGCGUUGAUUACGUCCC